rnacentral:rRNA from 1 species
UACGAGGGGGGCGAGCGUUGUUCGGAAUUAUUGGGCGUAAAGGGUGCGUAGGCGGUUUGGUAAGUCUUGUGUGAAAUCUACAGGCUCAACUUGUAGUCUGCACGAGAAACUGCCGGGCUUGAGUGUGGGAGAGGUGAGUGGAAUUCCUGGUGUAGCGGUGAAAUGCGUAGAGAUCGGGAGGAACAUCAGUGGCGAAGGCGGCCAUCUGGGACAACACUGACGCUGAAGCACGAAAGCGUGGGGAGCAAACAGG